UACGUAGGGUGCGAGCGUUAAUCGGAAUUACUGGGCGUAAAGCGUGCGCAGGCGGUUCGUUAUGUCCGUUGUGAAAUCCCCGGGCUCAACCUGGGAAUGGCAAUGGAAACUGGCGAGCUAGAGUGUGGCAGAGGGGGGUGGAAUUCCGCGUGUAGCAGUGAAAUGCGUAGAGAUGCGGAGGAACACCGAUGGCGAAGGCAGCCCCCUGGGCUAGCACUGACGCUCAGGCACGAAAGCGUGGGGAGCAAACAGG
rnacentral:rRNA from 1 species